UACAGAGGGUGCAAGCGUUAAUCGGAAUGACUGGGCGUAAAGGGCAUGUAGGUGGCUUUAUAAGUUAGAUGUGAAAUCCCCGGGCUUAACCUGGGAACUGCAUUUAAUACUGUGAAGCUAGAGGAUGGGAGAGGGCAGUGGAAUUUCCGGUGUAGCGGUGAAAUGCGUAGAUAUCGGAAGGAACACCAGUGGCGAAGGCGACUGCCUGGCCUGUAACUGACACUGAGAUGCGAAAGCGUGGGGAGCAAACAGG
rnacentral:rRNA from 1 species